rnacentral:tRNA from 1 species
CAGCUAAAUAGUUUAUUAAAAUACUAUUUUUGGGGAAUAGAGAUCUUUGUAAAAAGUUUGCUGG